GCCGGGCGCCGUGGCUUGUGCCUGUAAUCCAAGCUCCGGGGAGGCUGAGGCUGGCGGACCGCUGAGCCCGGGGGUUCUGGGCUGCGGGGGCUGUGCCGAGCGGGCGUCCCGGCUAAGGCCGGCAUCGAUAUGGUGGCCCUGGGGGAGCCGGGGGCCACCAGGUCGCCUAAGGAGGGGUGAACCGGCCCAGGUCGGAGACGGAGCAGGUCAAAGCUCCCGUGGCGGUCGGUAGCGGGAUCGCGCCCGUGAGCAGAGCCCGCAGCGCAGCCCGGGUGGCAGGACGGGACCCAGCCUCUU
rnacentral:SRP_RNA from 1 species